rfam:Gorilla gorilla gorilla genomic chromosome, chr1, whole genome shotgun sequence
GCUGGGUGUGGUGGUGUGUGCCUGUAAUCCCAGCUACUUGGGAGGCUGAGGCAGGAGAAUUGCUUGAACCCAGGAGGCAGAGGUUGCAGUGAGUUGAGAUUGCGCCACUGCAGUCCAGCCUGGGUGACAGAGCAAGACUCCGUCUCAA